rnacentral:rRNA from 1 species
GCUUGUCUCAAAGAUUAAGCCAUGCAUGUCUAAGUAUAACUCUUUUACUUUGAAAACUGCGAACGGCUCAUUAUAUCAGUUAUAGUUUCUUUGAUAGUCCCUUACUACUUGGAUACCCGUAGUAAUUCUAGAGCUAAUACAUGCAGGAAGACCCGACUCACGAAGGGUUGUAUUUAUUAGAUAAGAAACCUUCCCCUUUGGGUUGCGUGCCGAGUCACAAUAACUGCUCGAAUCGCAUGGCUUCACGCCGGCGAUGGUUCAUUCAAAUUUCUGCCCUAUCAGCUUUCGAUGGUAGGAUCGAGGCCUACCAUGGCGUUUACGGGUAACGGAGAAUUAGGGUUCGAUUCCGGAGAGGGAGCCUGAGAGAUGGCUACCACAUCCAAGGAAGGCAGCAGG